rnacentral:rRNA from 1 species
CCUACGGGGGGCAGCAGUGGGGGAUAUUGCACAAUGGGGGAAACCCUGAUGCAGCGACGCCGCGUGGGUGAAGAAGUAUUUCGGUAUGUAAAGCCCUAUCAGCAGGGAAGAAAGAAGACGGUACCUGACUAAGAAGCCCCGGCUAACUACGUGACAGCAGCCGCGGUAAUACGUAGGGGGCGAGCGUGAUCCGGAUUCACUGGGUGUAAAGGGAGCGUAGACGGCCGUGCAAGCCAGGAGUGAAAGCCCGGGGCCCAACCCCGGGACUGCUCUUGGAACUGGGCGGCUGGAGUGCGGGAGGGGCAGGCGGAAUGCCUGGUGUAGCGGUGAAAUGCGUAGAUAUCAGGAGGAACACCGGCGGCGAAGGCGGCCUGCUGGACCGCGACUGACGUUGAGGCUCGAAAGCGUGGGGAGCGAACAGGAUUAGAUACCCGGGUAGUC